AGAGAAACCCUAGAUUGAGUGGGUGCGAGAGACGCUGUUGUUCAAUGGCAGAGCACUUGGCAUCUAUAUUCGGGACAGAGAAGGAUCGCGUCAACUGUCCGUUCUACUUCAAGAUCGGAGCUUGCAGGCAUGGAGAUCGAUGCUCCAGGCUUCACACCAAGCCCAGCAUCAGCCCCACCCUCCUCCUUUCCAACAUGUACCAAAGGCCUGAUAUGGUCACCCCUGGCGUCGAUCCUCAGGGCCAACCUCUCGAUCCUCGCAAAAUCCAAGAGCACUUCGAGGAUUUUUAUGAAGAUUUAUUUGAGGAGCUGAGUAAGUAUGGAGAGAUCGAAAGCUUGAACAUCUGUGACAAUUUGGCUGACCAUAUGGUGGGUAAUGUAUAUGUUCAGUUUAGAGAGGAAGAACAUGCUGCAAAUGCACUUCGAAAUUUGAAUGGAAGGUUUUAUGCAGGGCGUCCCAUCAUUGUUGACUUCUCCCCAGUUACGGAUUUCCGUGAAGCUACAUGUAGGCAAUAUGAGGAAAAUAUAUGCAAUCGCGGCGGCUACUGCAACUUUAUGCAUCUGAAAAAGAUUAGUAGGGAGUUGAGGAGGCAAUUGUUUGGGAGAAACAGGCGUAGGCGCAGUCGAAGCAGAAGCCACAGUCCAUACAGACACCGUGGUCAUGAGGAGCAUCCACAUGGUCCUCAUGGUCCACAUGGUCCACAUGGUCCACGUGGUCCACGUGGCUCUAAUAGAAGAGAUGAUGACAGAGAUCAUCGUUACCAUGAUAGGGGGGGUAGGAGGCCUAGAAGCAGAAGUCCUGCACGUAGAGGAGGACGAAGCAGAAGCCCUGGUGGAAGAAGGAAUAAGAGUCCAGUCAGGGAAGGCAGUGCUGAGAGAAGGGCUAAGAUUGAGCAAUGGAAUAGGGAAAGAGAACAGGCAGAAGCUACUAAUAAGAAUGAUAAUAGCCACAGUGACAAUGGUAACAACAACAAUGACUUUGAACAAGAUGAUCAACAGUAUUAUAAUCCACAGCAUCAGGAGGAGGACCAGCAGCAGCAGCAGCAGCAUGGAGGAUACAACUAUUGAUCCAAUUGGAACUGUCUGGUGGAGUACAGGUUCACUGUCCUGUGAUAUUGAAAGUUGGUUGGCUGAUGUUGUCUGCAGAGCAAGUUUACAGGAUUUAAUGUUUUACAUGGCGAAGAAUUGGAGAAGCUGCUGAACCUCCUGAACAAGAAAAAUACUCAACAUCUUUGUGAUUGCUUGUUGAGGUCUGUUGAAGUUAACCUAUAGAGCGAGGACAAACAGUUUGGAACCUAAAUAGCAAGUUUGCUUUUAUCAAAGCUUCACCCAGUUGUUUUAUUUCCUUUUUUUGGAUUAUGUUUUUGUGAUGACAUUAUCAGGCAUUUUCAGUGGCAUUUCAAGUACUUUCUGGGGUCUUUCUGCUUCUCCCGGGCUGGUUCAAAAUUGCAUUAUUAGAAAAUGAAUCAGUAUACUUGCUGGACCUUCUGGUUAAAGUCUAUUUUUUA